GAUGAACGCUAGCGAUAGGCUUAACACAUGCAAGUCGAGGGGCAGCAUGGUCUUAGCUUGCUAAGACUGAUGGCGACCGGCGCACGGGUGCGUAACGCGUAUGCAACUUGCCUCACAGAGGGGGAUAACCCGUCGAAAGACGGACUAAUACCGCGUACACUCCAUCUUGGGCAUCCAAGGUAGAGGAAAUGAAAUUCGCUGUGAGAUAGGCAUGCGUCCCAUUAGCUAGUUGGUGAGGUAACGGCUCACCAAGGCGACGAUGGGUAGGGGAACUGAGAGGUUGGACCCCCACACUGGUACUGAGACACGGACCAGACUCCUACGGGAGGCAGCAGUGAGGAAUAUUGGUCAAUGGGCGAGAGCCUGAACCAGCCAAGUCGCGUGAAGGAUGACUGUCUUAUGGAUUGUAAACUUCUUUUAUACGGGAAUAACAAGAGUCACGUGUGACUCCCUGCAUGUACCGUAUGAAUAAGCAUCGGCUAACUCCGUG
rnacentral:rRNA from 1 species